CUGGUGAGUGGGGAGCAUGUCCUUGCAGGAUCAACUGUAUGGUUUUCUUGCUUAAAGGGGGGAGUUUUCAGCAGGCAGCAUGCUCUGCUCUUCUCUCUCCCCACUUUUCUUGCCUGCAACGUGGAUGUGAUGGCUGGAAGUCCAACAGCCGUUCUCUGAGCAAGAACGAGGAAGCCACGUUAGAGCUUGGGGUGAGGAACAUUUGGUGAGACAGUCAGAGAGGAUGGGGCUGGAGGCGGGCAUGCUGGGGCCUUCAAUGCCAGGCUGAGAAGGCUGGUUUGUGAGAAUUGGGAGCUUAUGCUAGGCUCCUGAGCAAGGACAGUGACAGGUGAAAAUGGCUUUGGGGAAGAGGAGCAAGUGGGUAUGGCAAACAUAGGGCAAGAUAAGGACUGCUGGGACCUCUGUCUGCCCCUGUGAGUACAGAGAAUGAAUCAGUGGCUCGGACUCACUGGGUUCAGACCAAGGAAAAAGGGAAGUGAGGCAGACACCCACAGACACUGGGCUAGACCCUUGCCUAUGCUAACUCUCACUCAGUCCUGGAAGCAGGCCUAUAAGGCAUCUUGGUAUAGCAACCUGGAAAUGGCAGCCUGGUGAGGAUGAGUCAUCGCGGGCUCACACAGUGGAGCGGAGGUCCCACCCGGCCAUCCUGAUGCCAACACACGUUCUCCCCAGUGAGCAGCUCGGCCUUCCAGGGCUCAAGAGGCCAGGGGUGAUGUCUGGAGGGGCAAGAAAUAGCCACACACUUUCCUAACCCCUCUUUCCUGCACUUAGAGCUCACAACAACGGCCAAUUCAACUAGCCACUGCCUCCCAAACACAUCAGCUGACACAUGUGCUCUAUCUAAAUGAUGCUCACUUGACAAACAAGGGCGUGGGGCUCAGAGAGGUCAAUGGCCUGUCUGGACCACACAGCGGCUGCAUGUGACAGGCUAAGCAGCGCUUCCACUGCAAGCCUGUCUGGUUCCCUUCACCACACUGUGUCCAUCCCCAGACUCUGGCUCCUGUAUUCCCGGACUCCACUUUCUCUAAUCCUGCGAUUAGUGAGGAGGGGGAAUUGGCAGUGUGGCUCAGAACAAGCUGCUCAGCGUGGAAACUUUCUCUGAGCAUCCCCAGGCCUGCCUCAUCCCCACUUCAUCUCCCUUUUAUAUCCCAGACCUCUCUCUCUCCAGGCCUGAGGCCUGGUGGAGAGGGCCUGUGGGCAGCUCUAGGGAGGGUCUUGCCCUGUAAGACAUGGAGGCGGCAGGCCCAGGCUGUACUCCUGGACUUCCCAUCCCUGGU
rnacentral:lncRNA from 1 species